AUUGAACGCUGGCGGCAUGCUUUACACAUGCAAGUCGAACGGCAGCGGGGUAGUGCUUGCACUACUGUCCGGCGAGUGGCGAACGGGUGAGUAAUAUAUCGGAACGUACCGAGUAAUGGGGGAUAACCAAUCGAAAGAUUGGCUAAUACCGCAUACGUCCUACGGGAGAAAGCGGGGGAUCGCAAGACCUCGCGUUAUUCGAGCGGCCGAUAACUGAUUAGCUAGUUGGUGGGGUAAAGGCCUACCAAGGCGACGAUCAGUAGCGGGUCUGAGAGGACGAUCCGCCACACUGGGACUGAGACACGGCCCAGACUCCUACGGGAGGCAGCAGUGGGGAAUUUUGGACAAUGGGGGCAACCCUGAUCCAGCCAUGCCGCGUGUAUGAAGAAGGCCUUCGUGGUGUAUAGUACUUUUGUUAUGGAAGAAAAGGGAAGUGCUAAUACCACUUUUUUGCUGACGGUACCUAAAGAAUAAGCACCGGCUAACUACUUGCCAGCAGCCGCGUGAAUACGUAGUGUGCGAGCGUUAAUCUGAAUUUUUGUGCUGUAAGCGAGCGCAUACGGUGUUUUAUGCUUGAUUGAAAUCCCCUGGCUUGACUGGUUGCUGCUUUUUGAAUGUUUUGUUGAGGGGUGAUAGGUGUGUUGUAUUGUGUUGUAUUGUGUGUGGGUUUUUUGGUGGUGGUGGUUUGUGCUGUUGUGUGUUCGUGUUUUUUUGAUUUGUUUUGUGUUGUGUGGUGUGUGUGUAGGAAGAGUGUGUUGUGAUGGUGUGUUG
rnacentral:rRNA from 1 species